AACGCGUGAGUAACCUGCCUUCAAGAGGGGGGAGUAACAUUCUGAAAAGAAUGCUAAUACCGCAUGACAUAUCGGAACCACAUGGUUUUGAUAUCAAAGAUUUUAUCGCUUGAAGAUGGACUCGCGUCCGAUUAGUUAGUUGGUGAGGUAACGGCUCACCAAGACCGCGAUCGGUAGCCGGACUGAGAGGUUGAACGGCCACAUUGGGACUGAGACACGGCCCAGACUCCUACGGGAGGCAGCAUG
rnacentral:rRNA from 1 species